rnacentral:rRNA from 1 species
AACGAACGCUGGCGGCAGGCCUAACACAUGCAAGUCGAACGCCGUAGCAAUACGGAGUGGCAGACGGGUGAGUAACACGUGGGAACAUACCCUUCGGUUCGGAAUAACUCAGGGAAACUUGAGCUAAUACCGGAUACGUCCGCGAGGAGAAAGAUUCAUCGCCGGAGGAUUGGCCCGCGUCUGAUUAGCUUGUUGGUGAGGUAACGGCUCACCAAGGCGACGAUCAGUAGCGGUCUGAGAGGAUGAUCAGCCA